AGGGGUGCAGCAGGGAGAAAAGAGGAGGAUGAAUAAAAGCAGUAACAGUAUGAUACUUUUACUGGACAUAAUUGAAAGGAAUAUUCAAGCCCCAAAGUGACCUACCUUAACUACACUAUAUGGUUUUAGUUAGUGGAUAUAUCCUUUUGAAUUUUCUAUAGAUUAUACACUAUGUAACGCUUGCUUACACAAGUUAAGUGGGUAGCUGAAAUGUAUAUUUUAAACGUUUAAGAUUAGGCAUUUGUUAUUGAUGUAUUAAAAACAGACUGAUAGAAACAAAUUGUAUUGGGAAAGAAUCCUACAGCAUUAUACUAUAGUCAUGUAUUUGCAUGUGCCUUUGUCUUUACAAUAAACUUUGAGCCCUCAGCAUUAAGGACAAACUCAGUCAUUUUUGUUUCUGGACUGGUAGUGUGGCCGUCCUGGAGUUUGUUAAUUUGUUCGGCUUGCGGAGGACAGGUAGGGUUCUCAGCAGGCUCCUGCUCCUCUCUGCCUGGUCAAUGCCAGUCCUUCAUUUGCUGAGUGUUUGUGUUUAUGCAAAAGGGCCUCUUCCUGCAUAUUUAAUCUAGAGCAAGGCACUGGCUUUUGUUGUGUUUAGAUCACAUACCUCCAGUCCCUCUGAGCACUGCAGUCAGGACUCCCUUCAGCUCUCUCACACUACAACUACUUCUACUACUUCUACUGCUACUAGCUACUAGUAACACUGACAGGCUUUUCUUCUGUUUGAGAAGUGGAUUGUAGACGUCUUGUUAAACCUGGGGGAACCUACAUUAAUGUUUCAUUAAUGUAAUGAAACUCAGGCUCACGGUUCAUGGCGUCGGUUCUUACAGAAUGCUGAAGCCAUCAAAUGAAGCAUUGGGGAGUGCUGGCUUUUUGGUCUUGGUGGUGACACCGAUGGAACCAGGGUGGUGCCUCAGCUGGUUCAUCAGGCUUCCACACCCCAGCUGGCUCGAGAGGUUUCCUUGCCCCGUUUGUCUCGGCAGGCUCUCAUCCCACGUCAUGCCUCAGACGGAUCGUCAGGGUUUUACACCCCAGACGGAUCAUCAGGCUCCCACAUCUCAGCCAGCUCGCCAGGCUCCCUCGUCCCAGCGGGAUCAUCAAGCUCCACGUCUCAACCGGAUCGUCAGGCUCCUACGCCUCAGCCGCUUCGCCAGGCUUCUACACCCCAGCCGGCUUGUCCAGCGCCCAUGCCUCGGCCGGCCCGUCAGGCUCGCCCAGGAGGGGGGCUUCUGUCACGCCUUCUCCCGCUUUCCCUCCCUGGCGCUCGAGGGCGCCAGGCUGCCUAGGACUACGCACUCCUGCCACCAUCAUUACACACACCUGCUCCCCUCGUCACACGCAUCAGCGAUUCAUUGCACUCACCUGGACUCAAUCACAUGUGUUAUUUCCUCCCCUGUAGCUGUCUGUUCACCGCUUCAGCAUUAA
rnacentral:lncRNA from 13 species